CCUACGGGGAGCUGCAGUGGGGAAUAUUGGACAAUGGGCGAAAGCCUGAUCCAGCCAUGCCGCGUGUGUGAAGAAGGCCUUCGGGUUGUAAAGCACUUUCAGUGGGGAAGAAAGCCUUGGGGCUAAUACCCUCGAGGAAGGACAUCACCCACAGAAGAAGCACCGGCUAACUCCGUGUCAGCAGCCGCGGUAAUACGGAGGGUGCGAGCGUUAAUCGGAAUUACUGGGCGUAAAGCGCGCGUAGGCGGUCUGAUAAGCCGGUUGUGAAAGCCCCGGGCUCAACCUGGGAACGGCAUCCGGAACUGUCAGGCUAGAGUGCAGGAGAGGAAGGUAGAAUUCCCGGUGUAGCGGUGAAAUGCGUAGAGAUCGGGAGGAAUACCAGUGGCGAAGGCGGCCUUCUGGACUGACACUGACGCUGAGGUGCGAAAGCGUGGGUAGCAAACAGGAUUAGAUACCCCGGUAGUC
rnacentral:rRNA from 1 species